rfam:Oryza glaberrima chromosome 8 Oglab08_0012_8, whole genome shotgun sequence.
UUUAAGCGCAGUCAUAAGUUUUCGUGUUCAACUUUGAUCUUCCGUCUUAUUUAAAUUUUUUUCAUGAUUAGUAUUUUUCUUGUUAUUAUAUGAUACAACAUGAAUAAUCCUUUAUGCGUGACUUAUAUUUUUUAUUUUUUAAAAAUAAUUUCAAAUAAGACGGAUGAUAAGACUGAUAAAAAAAAACUCAAGGCUACGUUUAAA